ensembl:miRNA
GCUGUGGGGAUCUGGCAUUGUGGCUCCUGCAUGAAAACCGUCGCUGGUGGCGCCUGGAUCUACAACACCACUUCUGCUGUCACAGUAAAGUCUGCC